AUAGAGUCAAGUGAAUAAGUGCAUCAGGUGGAUGCCUUGGCGAUGAUAGGCGACGAAGGACGUGUAAGCCUGCGAAAAGCAUCGGGGAGCUGGCAAUAGAGCUUUGAUCCGGUGAUGUCCGAAUGGGGAAACCCACACAGCAAUGUGUAUCCUAAGCCCAAUACAUAAGCUUAGAGAAGCGAACCCGGAGAACUGAACCAUCUAAGUACCCGGAGGAAAAGAAAUCAACCGAGAUUCCGCAAGUAGUGGCGAGCGAACGCGGAGCAGCCUGUAUGUGAUAGCCGUCGGGAUAGGAGAAGGAAUUGGAAACUUCCGCCAUAGUGGGUGAUAGCCCCGUAUCCGAAAUUCCGGCAGUGGUACUAAGCAUACGACAAGUAGGGCGGGGCACGAGAAAUCCUGUCUGAAGAUGGGGGGACCAUCCUCCAAGGCUAAAUACUCAUCAUCGACCGAUAGUGAACCAGUACCGUGAGGGAAAGGCGAAAAGAACCCCGGGAGGGGAGUGAAAUAGAACCUGAAACCUGAUGCAUACAAACAGUGGGAGCACCCUUGCGGUGUGACUGCGUACCUUUUGUAUAAUGGGUCAACGACUUACAUUCAGUAGCAAGCUUAACCGGAUAGGGGAGGCGUAGGGAAACCGAGUCUUAAUAGGGCGACAUAGUUGCUGGGUGUAGACCCGAAACCGAGUGAUCUAUCCAUGGCCAGGUUGAAGGUGCCGUAACAGGUACUGGAGGACCGAACCCACGCAUGUUGCAAAAUGCGGGGAUGAGCUGUGGAUAGGGGUGAAAGGCUAAACAAACUCGGAGAUAGCUGGUUCUCCCCGAAAACUAUUUAGGUAGUGCCUCAUGUAUCACUUCCGGGGGUAAAGCACUGUUAUGGCUAGGGGGUCAUUGCGACUUACCAACCCAUGGCAAACUCAGAAUACCGGAAAGUGCAAUCAUGGGAGACAGACAGCGGGUGCUAACGUCCGUUGUCGAAAGGGAAACAACCCAGACCGCCAGCUAAGGUCCCAAAUGAUAGAUUAAGUGGUAAACGAAGUGGGAAGGCUUAGACAGCCAGGAUGUUGGCUUAGAAGCAGCCAUCAUUUAAAGAAAGCGUAAUAGCUCACUGGUCGAGUCAUCCUGCGCGGAAGAUGUAACGGGGCUCAAAUCUAUAACCGAAGCUGCGGAUGCACGCUUCCUUAAAACAGCUUGCCGGAGCGAAGCGACGGAAAGCGCCCAUCAAAGUCGAGCAUGAAUAGGUGGGGAUAGCUGUUUUAAUGAAGCGUGCAUGGUAGGGGAGCGUUCUGUAGGCCUGAGAAGGUGUUUCGUAAGGAAUGCUGGAGGUAUCAGAAGUGCGAAUGUUGACAUGAGUAGCGAUAAAGCGGGUGAAAAGCCCGCUCGCCGAAAGCCCAAGGUUUCCUGCGCAACGUUCAUCGGCGCAGGGUGAGUCGGCCCCUAAGGCGAGGCAGAGAUGCGUAGUCGAUGGGAAACGGGUUAAUAUUCCCGUACUUGAUUUAAGUGCGAUGUGGGGACGGAGAAGGUUAGGUCAGCAAACUGUUGGAAUAGUUUGUUCAAGCCGGUAGGUGGAAGGAUUAGGCAAAUCCGGUUCUUCAUAACACCGAGAAGCGAUAACGAGUAUCUACGGAUACGAAGUGACUGAUACCACGCUUCCAGGAAAAGCCACUAAGCUCCAGCUUAAAUCGAACCGUACCGCAAACCGACACAGGUGGGCAGGAUGAGAAUUCUAAGGCGCUUGAGAGAACUCGGGAGAAGGAACUCGGCAAAUUGAUACCGUAACUUCGGGAGAAGGUAUGCCCUCUGAGGUAAAGGAUUUACUCCGUAAGCUUUGGAGGGUCGCAGAGAAUCGGUGGCUGCGACUGUUUAUUAAAAACACAGCACUCUGCAAACACGAAAGUGGACGUAUAGGGUGUGACGCCUGCCCGGUGCUGGAAGGUUAAUUGAAGAUGUGAGAGCAUCGGAUCGAAGCCCCAGUAAACGGCGGCCGUAACUAUAACGGUCCUAAGGUAGCGAAAUUCCUUGUCGGGUAAGUUCCGACCCGCACGAAUGGCGUAACGAUGGCCACACUGUCUCCUCCCGAGACUCAGCGAAGUUGAAGUGGUUGUGAAGAUGCAAUCUACCCGCUGCUAGACGGAAAGACCCCGUGAACCUUUACUGUAGCUUUGCAUUGGACUUUGAAGUCACUUGUGUAGGAUAGGUGGGAGGCUUAGAAGCAGAGACGCCAGUUUCUGUGGAGCCGUCCUUGAAAUACCACCCUGGUGACUUUGAGGUUCUAACCCAGGUCCGUGAACCGGAUCGGGGACCGUGCAUGGUAGGCAGUUUGACUGGGGCGGUCUCCUCCCAAAGAGUAACGGAGGAGUUCGAAGGUUACCUAGGUCCGGUCGGAAAUCGGACUGAUAGUGCAAUGGCAAAAGGUAGCUUAACUGCGAGACCGACAAGUCGAGCAGGUGCGAAAGCAGGACAUAGUGAUCCGGUGGUUCUGAAUGGAAGGGCCAUCGCUCAACGGAUAAAAGGUACUCCGGGGAUAACAGGCUGAUUCCGCCCAAGAGUUCAUAUCGACGGCGGAGUUUGGCACCUCGAUGUCGGCUCAUCACAUCCUGGGGCUGUAGUCGGUCCCAAGGGUAUGGCUGUUCGCCAUUUAAAGUGGUACGUGAGCUGGGUUUAAAACGUCGUGAGACAGUUUGGUCCCUAUCUGCAGUGGGCGUUGGAAGUUUGACAGGGGCUGCUCCUAGUACGAGAGGACCGGAGUGGACGAACCUCUGGUGUACCGGUUGUCACGCCAGUGGCAUCGCCGGGUAGCUAAGUUCGGGAAGGAUAAGCGCUGAAAGCAUCUAAGCGCGAAACCUGCCUGGAGAUGAGACUUCCCUGAGGGUUAAGCCCUCCUGAAGAGUCGUUCUAGACCAGGACGUUGAUAGGUGGGGUGUGGAAGCGCGGCAACGCGUGCAGCUAACCCAUACUAAUUGCUCGUGAGGCUUGACUCUAU
rnacentral:rRNA from 1 species